rnacentral:rRNA from 1 species
UACGAAGGGGGUUAGCGUUGCUCGGAAUCACUGGGCGUAAAGGGUGCGUAGGCGGGUCUUUAAGUCAGGGGUGAAAUCCUGGAGCUCAACUCCAGAACUGCCUUUGAUACUGAAGAUCUUGAGUUCGGGAGAGGUGAGUGGUACUGCGAGUGUAGAGGUGAAAUUCGUAGAUAUUCGCAAGAACACCAGUGGCGAAGGCGGCUCACUGGCCCGAUACUGACGCUGAGGCACGAAAGCGUGGGGAGCAAACAGG